rfam:Bombyx mori DNA, contig: Bm_scaf52_contig27007, strain: p50T/Dazao, build 2, whole genome shotgun sequence.
UUAACUCGAAUUUGUAUGAGUUGAAGCGUUUGCCUACGUUUGCCGCUAGGGGCGCUGUUUCAACUGCAUACAAAUUUGAGUUA